GACCCAGUGGUGAAAUGAAGCACAACUGCAACUCUUGGAUAAGAGCAGAAAUGCCAUGUGCUGGCGGAGGUUCCUGGUUCGAAUCCAGGCUGGGUCA